UUUUUUUUUCCUUUUUUCAUGAAAAUAUUUACAGUGUUGUGCCAAUUUCUACUGUAUAGCAAAGUGACCCAGUCAUACAUAUAUAUACAUUCCUUUUGCUGUAUUAUCUUCCACCAUGGUCUAUCCCAAGAGACUGGAUACAGUUCCCUGUGCUCUACAGCAGGAUCUUCUCAUUGCUUAUCUGUUCUAAAUGGAAUAGUUUACAUCUACUAACCCCAAACUCCCGGUCCAUCCUCCCCGCUCCCCUCUCCCCCUUGGCUAUCACAUGAUCCAGCAAUUCCACUCCCGGGCAUAUAUCCCAACAAAACUACAAUUCAAAAAGAUACAUGCACCUGUAUUUAUUUAUUCACUUUUUUGUCUUUUGUCUUUUCAGGGCCGCACCCGAGGCAUAUGGAGCGGCCCUAAAAAGACAAAAUGAAAUAAAAUAAAAUAAAACAGCGUCACUAAGGAUGAUGAGGUGUAAGUCCUAUACAGCUCAGAGAAGGCGCGGAAAUCUAAUCACCACAGCAUCAGAUUUUGCCUGAGGUCAUUCCGUUCUGAGUCCCUCAUUUGUAAAAGGAAGACUGCACAUUCCCGCCCCUAGGGUGUUUGUCACGACGUUGAAAUGAGCGAGCAUAUGGUGCUUGAACACCCUGGGAGGAAAAAACUGGACAGGUUGCACCACAGUGCAAAGGUACUGAACACCCCCGAAAUGGAUGCUUGACAAAUGGUUAAGAUGAUCAAUUUUACGUUGUAGGUGCUUUGCCGUAACUAAACAAACAAACAAAAAAAUAGUCGUCCCGUACAUCAUUGAUAAACAAGCAUCAGGUGCAAUGGUUAAUAUCCAGUUAUUUUAUUCUGAACAGUUAUCAUCAUCACACACAUUUAUUCCUAAGAUAGAUGCAGACCCACUCCCACUGCUCUGGCUGGUCUCCCCCUGCUCUGACUGUCUCUGAUCCUCAGAAGGUUCCUGGGCUCCCAGACACUAACCUACACUUCCCCUCACUCUUGGACUCUCGACGAGCACAGUCACUUGAAUCCCUUCAGCGGAGGGUCCUGCAAGCCCCUCCUUGAAGGCAUACGUCCCGCACCCUCGUUCUCAGCCUCCAAUCGAUGAUGUUCAGUCAGCUUUACUUGAAAUCUGGCUCCCGCAUCCCAGGGGUCACGAAACCGUGACAACUCCAUUUCAGAAAGGCCCCAACGCUCCAAAAUCUCACUCCUUCCUUUCUCAUUACUUUAGUUUCGUCUCUAUGGCCCCUCACCCAGACUACGACGACAACAUUCUCUCUGGUCAAAAGGCUUUCCGUCCCUUCCACCUCGCCCUCCCACCACUCCUAGGAUUCUCUUCCAAAAAGUCAAAUCCAAUGUGCCUUUCACGAACAUAAAGUACCCAGCGGGCUCCCGUCUGGGUUAAGUCUAUUCUUAUCUCACCAAAGUCUGUUUAUAGGCAGCUGUUUAUAUCAACCUACGUUUACACUCACAUGGCCCAUGGCUCCCCUCCCAACCUUGAACCUUGGUUUUUGUUUUUGUUUCUUUUGGUCUUUUUAGAUCGGCACCAGGGGCACAUGGAGAUUCCCAGGCUAGGGGCCCAAUCGGAGCUACAGCUUCCAGCCUACAUCACAGCCACGACAACACUGGACCCGAGCCGCGUCUGAGACUUACACCACAGCUCGUGGCAACACUGGAUCCUUAAGCUACUGAGCGAGGCCAGGGAUCGAACCUGCUUCCUCAUGGAUGCUAGUCAGAUUCGUUUCUGCUGAGCCACGACAGGAACUCUGAACCUCGCUCUUUUACACGCUUCUCUCCAUAUGCUAACACUUUGCUUUUUGCAAAUUGCAUCCCCGUUUGCCUAUUAUCAGCACCGUCUUUGCUCCCUAGCAAUCAUCCACAUCCACGCAGCUUCAGCAAGAUUGGGAUCAGACGCCUCUUCUGGACAGCGUGGUUCAGAUGUCACACCAUUGCUCCGUACACACUGGGCCGGGGGCGGGGCGGGGGGGAGGUUAAUAAUUCAUCAAGGUACCUCAGCUUUCUCUUCAAUUAGACCGUCUAUCUCUGAAGGCUUGUUAUGUCUUUGUCAUCUCGCCAUCCCUAGCUCCCAGGACAGUGCUUAGCUCAGCACAUAGGGAGGGCUAAGUCUGUUGAGUGAACCAUGAGGGAAAGAUGCCAUGGCUGAGCUUAUUAACUUCCAAUCUUAGGAAAAUCACUUUGGCAAGGCCACCUGUAAUAGUUUAAGAUGUCCCACACCGGACACGAAUGAGGUGCUCUGCGAUGACCGCAAAUCCUUUGGACAAGUUAAGCUGCCUUUCGUACCCUGGAUAGGUAAUUUACUAAUUGGCAUCCAGGGACCCUUGUAUCUGUUAUCUCUCACGGUGGCUGGCGUACACUUGAGGAAUACCUCAUCACCCACGACACUGAAAGCAGUAAUGAAUUCCUGACUAUUCUGAACACAUGGACACAUGAAUCCUUACUCUAUAAAAUCCUGGGCCCCUCUAUCACUUUCAAUAGUUGAAUAACGUAAGCAGGACAGAACCAAUCUGCGCACAGCACUUAAGACAAUUCUGUAAAUAUUUAGGCAACAAUUGUAUGUAAUUGAAAACACGGUGCUCAUAUUUCGGACCCUGUUACAACGUGUUAGCUUUGGAUGAGGAUCGCGGCAGCUUUGGUGGCUGGCAAGAAGGGCCGGGAGUGCCUAACCCACCUGGGCGGGAAGGCCAGAGAAUGCUUUAUAGAUGCCCUGUCGGCUGCCCAACUCCCACCUUUCUGGACCCCCCACCCCUCUGUGCAGAGAGUCCGAAGCUGACGGAUGCGGGCCGGAGCACCUGCCUUUGCUCGGCCAAUCCACAGGCCCUUCCAUAGAAGCCACCCCCAGAAUGUAACUGCAGUAGAACAGGAGGCAGUCUCCCUCCCACGGGCUGAGGCAGACAAGUGCAGAGCUCAGGAGGAUGGUACAUGAUUUCCGCCAAGAGGAGAGACCAAGUCUCACAAACAAUCCGGAAUAAAGUGGGCAGGCAAAAAGGAGCAGAGCCAAGACAAGGAGGCCCUGCAUCCCCCAUUCCCUGCCCGCGCCCCUGAAGCCCAGCUGCAAACCUCUGCCCUGCUGGUGGUGUGGUUUUUUGAACACUUACUUGUACUCCAAAAGCCUGACAGUCCCCGAUUUUUUGGACUGUGAAUUUAAUCUCUGUUAUAAGAAACUUGAAAAGAAAAGAAAACAAAACCGUGCUAACAUAAACACAGCCCAAGGUAUUAAAUCUUAAGAGCUUUAAUGACCCAGUGGCUUCAUGAAGGCUCUUGCAGUUCUGUGGUGAGCGUCUAAAAGGUGGAAAUCGCAUCUUUUAUUUAGCUACAGAAGGCGGAUGAAUCCCUUUAUACAAUGAGUAAGUGCUCUGUAAUUGAUUUGUUGAGUAAACUGAAUUUUUUCCAAUGCCUACUCUUCUCAAAGAGGGCCUGGCUGCACGUCAUUAGAGCUUCAGGAGGGCUGAGGGUACAAGGGUAACUCCACUU
rnacentral:lncRNA from 1 species